UUGAUUGUAAUUGAUCACCAGGGAACACAGGGGACAUCAAUUAACUCACAGUUGUUAAAGAUUUUAAAAGAGAGAGAAGGCUAAGCUGCAUCAACUGCAUGGUGUGUUAAGGAGAAUAGUGCAAGUGAAGGAUGGGAGGUAGCAACAUCCCGAGGUCUCUUUUCUAAUGCAACAACAUGCAAAUCAUUUGUGUGUCUGCAGUGUAACCUGUGAGGCUGGCAGUGGAAAAAUAUUCAAGGUUGUGCUGUGAUCUAAGAAUACAAAAUAAUGAGGUGCUGCAUUUUGUGUCAAGAGGUCUGUGGCCAGAAGGAAGGAACCAGCCCUUUUCUAAAGAGGAUGUCAUUUGAGUGUCCAAGCAGAAAUCUCUGCACUACAGCACUGUAGAAAGCCUGGUCAGCCCUGGCUAAAAACUCGGGCUAAACUUGGUUAUGUGAGUCACCACUUCACUGACUUCACACCGCAGGCACGACGGGAAGUAACAGCAGUGAUGCUGAUAGACACCAGAGCACAGAAGAGGGGAGAAAUCAUGAGAAGCAAAAAUAAAGGGCCAGUUUCUCCUCUAUGAUGGCUAGAAGGAAUCAGCCAUAGGAUUCCCGACUGGAAUGAUCCAAGCCAGGCAGCUGAGUCCCUGCGUGGCAGGAGCGGGGCUGUGGGGACCGCAGGCUCUUGCAGGGAGCGCUGCUCGCUCCGGCAGCGCCGCAUCUGCGGGAUGGGGACGGCGGGGACACGGCCGACUGGACCGGCACCGGCACCGGCACCUCCUGCUGGGCUGCACCGAGCGGCCCCCGGGCCAGAGCUGCUCCGCCGCUGGCUCAGAGAACAGGUUCGCUCAGCGAUUUCCUGGGCUGGAGAGGGCACCGAGUGCGCACGUGUGUGGUGAGGAGGUGCUGCUGGAAGGGAGGAAAAUGCGGGCACAAGAAGUGAUUAAACCACUCAUUAAGUUUAAUAGACUUGCUAUUUAUAUCGGACUUGGCAUUGCAGCAGUAGGUAGGAACGCGUUAGCCAAAGGAAAAUCAAAAUAUGACCUAACAAAGCUAGGAGUCAAGAAUUUGGACAGGAAUGGUAUUAGUUUAUACUUUUUUUUUUUUCCCCCAAGAAACUACUCCUUUUUUCAGAGAUGCCUUUCCAGCUUGCAAGUUUCAAGCAGAAGCUUCAUCAGCUUUACUGUGGGAAAGGCAUAUCCUGGCCAAACGAUCCUCUGCUAUCAGGAUUGCCCCUUGCUGUGCACAGGGAGGUUGCUCCCCGGCUGCCAGGCAAGAGCAGGACAGGGGAAGUGCUGCUUGCAGAAUGCAUCAGGAGGAGCAGCGUGAGCCUGCGAGUGGGAAACCACAGUCCCCAGCUAAAGGCUGAACUUCAAAUUCACAGGGGCAAAACUUAGAAUUCAACAUCCCUGCCCUGUGUGUCUUAGCUCACAGUGUGUAAACAUCAGCCCUCUGAUGAAAGGGAAGGAAAUGAGCCCUGUUGGUAACAAAGUCGAUGCAAAGGUUAUCACUGACUGACUCCAGCUGGUCCUUGGCUGAUGCACAGGCAUUCAUGGCUGUGAAAGAACUGAAGUUCACAUAAACGACUAACAAAACUUAUACACAAAGGAUUUAUUACAUGAAUAAUUUGACAUACUCCACGGUAGUCAGAUACAAGUGCAUUUAAUUAAUGUUUUGUGGACAUCAUAACAGUCGGAAUAUUUUAGCUGAACAGUCAGUAUUCGGCUGAAUUCAAGCCAGUGCAAUUCAUGACAUAACCAGAAACAGGGAGUUACAGGUCUACAAUGAGGUUAGACUAGAUAGCAACAGCAUAUUUAUUGUCACAUCAAAGCAUUACAAAGUAUGAAAGCCCAAUAUUUCAACUAUCUCUAAAAUGGUAUUUGUACAAAGCUGUUGUAGAUAUUUAAAUGUAAGGAUUCGUCGCAUCAGGAAUGGACCGUGACUUUAUUUUUGGAAGUUAUUUGAAUAUUCAAAACUAUUUGGGGCAACAAGAAGAAAUGUAAACAUCUGACAGUCCUUUGAAGGUCCCUUCUGAGAAAAUACAUUGUGUGCCACAGGAAAAGUGCAUUCUAACUGGUGUGUCUGCUAUGGCCAGUUUGACUCACAUUCACUUAGCACCAGGUAUUAAUCCAUUUCUGCAGUAAAAAGUUAGAAAAUCUUUGUAU